CCCCUCUCAGGGUUGUACCUCGAGAGUUUCCAGAACUCUACCAGCCUCGACUACAGGAGGGAGAGUCAAGGAGAGGCAUAUCCAUUUCAUUCCUAGCUUGGACAGUGGCUAGUGAGUGGAAGACAAACUGCUACAAGU
rfam:Ornithorhynchus anatinus chromosome 2, whole genome shotgun sequence.